AACGUAGGUACCGAGCGUUAUCCGGAUUUACUGGGCGUAAAGCGCGUUCAGGCGGCUUGACAAGUCGGGCAUGAAAUCUCUCGGCUCAACCGGGAGGGGCUGUCCGAUACUGUCGGGCUUGAGGGCAGUAGAGGGUGGUGGAAUUCCUGGUGUAGCGGUGAAAUGCGCAGAUAUCAGGAAGAACACCCGUGGCGAAAGCGGCUCUCUGGAACGGUACUGACGCUGAGACGCGAAAGCGUGGGGAGCGAACAGG
rnacentral:rRNA from 1 species